UACGGGGGGGGGCAAGCGUUGUUCGGAAUUACUGGGCGUAAAGGGCUCGUAGGCGGCCAACUAAGUCAUACGUGAAAUCCCUCGGCUUAACCGGGGAACUGCGUCUGAUACUGGAUGGCUUGAGUUCGGGAGAGGGAUGCGGAAUUCCAGGUGUAGCGGUGAAAUGCGUAGAUAUCUGGAGGAACACCGGUGGCGAAGGCGGCAUCCUGGACCGGUAUUGACGCUGAGGCGCGAAAGCCAGGGGAGCAAACGGG
rnacentral:rRNA from 1 species